GGAGCUAAACAACAUUUACCAGCCUACCACAGAGUUAUGGGGGAGAAGGUUAUAUGACCAAGAUUUAGACAACAAAAAGUGAUCAGAAGGAGUCAAAUAAUCGACUUUUUAAAAGUUAAUAUAAAAGGACUGAAUACAUUUUUGUGGAAAACCCAUGCCAAGGAUGUUUUCUAAUGCCACAGGAAUCAUAGUCAGAAAUUUUAAGAAGGAUUAAGCAGCACAGGGAUAGGUGUCCAGCUCAAUUUCUUCUCUUGU